rnacentral:rRNA from 1 species
CCUACGGGCGGCAGCAGUGGGGAAUAUUGCACAAUGGGCGCAAGCCUGAUGCAGCCAUGCCGCGUGUAUGAAGAAGGCCUUCGGGUUGUAAAGUACUUUCAGCGGGGAGGAAGGGAGUAAGAUUAAUAACCUUAUUCAUUGACGUUACCCGCAGAAGAAGCACCGGCUAACUCCGUGCCAGCAGCCGCGGUAAUACGGAGGGUGCAAGCGUUAAUCGGAAUUACUGGGCGUAAAGCGCACGCAGGCGGUCUGUCAAGCCGGAUGUGAAAUCCCCGGGCUCAACCUGGGAACUGCAUUCGAAACUGGCAGGCUGGAGUCUUGUAGAGGGGGGUAGAAUUCCAGGUGUAGCGGUGGAAUGCGUGGAGAUCUGGAGGAAUACCGGUGGCGAAGGCGGCCCCCUGGACAAAGACUGACGCUCAGGUGCGAAAGCGUGGGGAGCAAACAGGAUUAGAUACCCCUGUAGUC